GAGAGGGGGUGGGGAAGAGAGUGGAAGCAACUAGCAGAACAAGAGAGAGAAGCAAAAAUGGUUUCCUAAUUGGAUUGUUUCAAUGUUAGGGUUUGGGUUCCGUACUCUCUGGUAUCCCAAAAUGGCGAGAGCCGCUACCAGGAAGAGGAGAAAGAGGACGAUCAUGAGUAGAAGCAACAAGCAGAACAAGAGAGAGAAGAAAAAAUGGUUUCCUAAUUGGAUUGUUUCAAUGUUAGGGUUUGGCUUCCUUACUCUCUGGUAUCCCAAAAUGGCGAGAGCCGCUACCAGGAAGAGGAGGAAGAGGACGAUCAUGUUUGGAUUCUCCGAACAUUUCUUAUCAGUGGAUAGGUAUAGCAGCGAUGCAUUUUGGCGGAGGAAGAGGAGGAUCAUGGCUGCUGUUCGUCUAUGUAACGCUUCAUCAUGGCUGUUGUUCGUCUAUGUAACUUUGUGUUGGUAUGUUGAUAGUGUGAAGAUUACAAAUGAUUGCCGACAUCUCCAAACCUUUGAGACAUGCUGGAACUAAUUAUUUUAGGCUGUUACAAAAGCAAUGUUGGGAUAUGAUCCCCAAGAGGUGAAUCCUGAGGAUAUGGUACGCUUUGCCCUGAAAUUCCCCAGGUAUGUUGACUGGAAAUGGUUUUUAGGGUGGUUUUUUGUUCAUCUCACUGAAUUGGUGCAGCCAUGAGUGACAGAAUUCAUGAAAUAUCAUGGGUAUAAUGAAAUUAGAAGAUGAGAAUGAGAUUUAAAUCAAUGGAAUGAGGAAACUACCCAACAAAAGAUAAAAAGGAAAAAUGUUGUUGGAAAAAAAUAAUACAAUUACAUGAAUUAGGAAAGACCGAAAGAGAGAGAUGCCAUAUUGUAUAUGUAGGAACUACAAUGGCUAAUUUUAUGGAUUAGUGAUGCUUCUUGUUGUUAGAAAGAUUUGUGGAUGAAUUGGGUUCAUGUACAUCUUUUCAGUGUUGGAAUUGAAUCCAACUUCCCUUUCCUUGCUGAAUUAGGACUCUAAUUCCUUUCCCUUUCUGGAUUAGUUAUCCACGAUCUUCCAGUGGGAUCAGAAGCCCCUUCUCCUUAUCCUAGUGGAUCUGGCAUUACUAGAAAUUGGCUCAGGUUAUUAAAAACUUCAGAUAAUUAGAAAAUUUUCAAUCUGUCCUCAACUAAAGCUUAAAAUUGAAAUAAAGAAUCUUACCUCUGAUUUUGAGUUCUAAUUAUUUGUUAGACAAUAACAUUUCUGAAUAUGAUUUGUUUCAUGUUUCAAUAUUUGCAUUGCAGACGAUGGCUUCUUAUUUAGUAUGGGAUGCUAUUGCAACUUAUUACCUGUAUAUGAUCUAUAUUCAUCCUUUCAUUUACUCUCUUGCGACCGUAAUACCUAUGCUGCCUGACGAGGUUUUUACGUAAAGAAGGGUAACCCUUUGUGAAAUGCUCCUCAUGGUCUAGGUGGUUUCUAGGAAUUCUCUAUUGGCAGUCAUUUGAAUUUUUCUUUCUUGAGCUGGUCUUGCAAAUUUUUUGGCUUCUUCAGUAAUCCUGGGGUAAUUCUGGUGCUUCACGAACUAUUUUGAGAUCACGUCAAACGUUAUUGUUGACUGUGACAUAAUUGUCAAGGCAUAAGACGACCCAAGGAAAUGGAUAAUGGUAACAAAGCAAGGCAACACCAACAAGGCGACGCCUAGGUGACCAAGGCACCAGUCCAGGCUGAGCAGCCUGGACCCUUAGGCGAUGCCUUGACAACUACGGAGCUUGAUCUAAUGUGCAACUUCCAUUUUGUAAUAUUCACAGGCACACAAGGGAGCACCAAGAUGAUCUGGAGAAGUUCUAUAAUAACCACCUUUUGGAGGGUAAGACGUACAUAGGUGGUAAAGUGGAAUGCCUCGAAAGUGGUGUUUUUAGAUCUGAUCUCCCUACAAAUUUCAACUUGAUCCAUCUGCAUAUGAGCAAUUAAUCAGUAACCUUGAUCAUGAUCUGCAAUAUGCAAUAAAGGUGGAGGGUAAGAUGGACAUUGGAUCUGUCUCCAAUUAUGAUGAAAUGAAGAAUGCUAUCAUGGAAAAGGUAGGCCCUAAGGUGAGUUGAACUCUUGACCUCUUUAUUGUGAGGAGUUGGUCUUCGACAACUGAGCUAUCCCUCUUGGGGUUCAUGAGAUAAUGCUGCACAUUGCUUUUCAAAACAAAUUCUGUCAAAGGACCAGGAGAGGUAAGUACUGGAUUCAAAUAUCUUUUUAAUCUUUUUUCCCUUCCAUUUUAUUUUAAAUAAAAUAUUUUGAUGUAUAGAACGAGAUUUUUUUAUACUCACCUUGGAUCAUAGAUAUUUAAAGGUAGCGGGCUACUUAUGCUCCAAUUUUUUUGUUCCUAGAAAACAGUUCUAACAUGCGGUUGCAGGCA